AUUGAACGCUGGCGGCAGGCCUAACACAUGCAAGUCGAGCGGAUGAAGGGAGCUUGCUCCUGGAUUCAGCGGCGGACGGGUGAGUAAUGCCUAGGAAUCUGCCUGGUAGUGGGGGAUAACGUCCGGACACGGGCGCUAAUACCGCAUACGUCCUGAGGGAGAAAGUGGGGGAUCUUCGGACCUCACGCUAUCAGAUGAGCCUAGGUCGGAUUAGCUAGUUGGUGGGGUAAAGGCCUACCAAGGCGACGAUCCGUAACUGGUCUGAGAGGGUGAUCAGUCACACUGGAACUGAGACACGGUCCAGACUCCUACGGGAGGCAGCAGUAGGGAAUAUUGGACAAUGGGCGAAAGCCUGAUCCAGCCAUGCCGCGUGUGUGAAGAAGGUCUUCGGAUUGUAAAGCACUUUAAGUUGGGAGGAAGGGCAGUAAGUUAAUACCUUGCUGUUUUGACGUUACCAACAGAAUAAGCACCGGCUAACUUCGUG
rnacentral:rRNA from 1 species